rnacentral:rRNA from 1 species
UACGAAGGGGGCGAGCGUUGUUCGGAAUUACUGGGCGUAAAGGGCGCGUAGGCGGCCUGGCAAGUCAAAAGUGAAAUCCCUCGGCCCAACCGAGGAACUGCCUUUGAAACUGCAAGGCUUGAGGCCGGGAGAGGGUAGCGGAAUUCCCAGUGUAGCGGUGAAAUGCGUAGAUAUUGGGAGGAACACCAGUGGCGAAGGCGGCUACCUGGACCGGUUCUGACGCUGAGGCGCGAAAGCGUGGGGAGCAAACAGG